CUGGGCAGGGAGACUCGGGACCCCGUGGGCGCGCUCCUGGGAGAGCUGCUCCCCUGCAAGUUCCGCAAGUUUCUGUCCCAACUGCGGGCCAAGUGUGCGGAGGAGGAGCCGGAGCCGGAGCCGCAGGCACAGGGUGAAGCUCACCGAAGAGCAGAAGCGGGGUGGGGAGGCCGUCCCUCCUGGGGCUGCUCUGCCCUGCCCUUGCAGGUCGGUAGAGGCGCCGGAGUGAGGGCGCCCCCAGCCCCCAGCUCCUCCUCCUCCUGGCCCCCAGCGCCCUCAGCAUCUCGACAUCAAAGUGGGGCGUCCGAGCCCUGGCGGCGUUCUCCGGGGUGUCCCAGCUGCCAGUUCCUCCCAGACCUGCAGGACCAGUUGUCCGGCUUCCAGGAGAGACUGGAGAAGAUUUUGCACCAGCGGACAUCUUCCCUGGGACAACUGAGUGGUGACCACUCACAAUUCCCCACAGUCAGAAAGGCCAGCUCGUUCUGUGGCACACCAGCCCCCGAGGCCAUGCCCACCCCUACCCCCUCCGGGGAAGGCUUGGGGCCCCGCAGGCACAGCUGCCCUUUCCAGGUACGGCUUGCUGAUGAGAUGCUCACGGACAGCGCUCUCUGCUACUGGGAACACAGCUGUGCAGUCCAGCAGAGCAGGAUGUCCCCCCUGCCAGCGGAGUCGGUGUCCAAGCCGGGCCUCAGGAGCCUCGGGAGGUGGCUGGACAGUUUGCCCAGGUCUGGGUACCUCCGGGCCAAGGAGGACGCCAUGGCCAGCUCCUCGCGCUGGGCCCAACCUGGCCUGUGAGGCCCCAAGCCCUGUGUGCCUCCCUGACCCCGGGCAUGGGACCCAGGGUUCUUGAAGUUCACAGGCUCCUGUCUCCCCAGGCCUUCCCGGGAGCCGCUGGGCUACCUCUCCAAGGGCGCCUCUCUAAAGGGCAGCCUGCCCUUCAUCCCCAGGGCCACUGCCCGGUGGCCAUGGAGGAACCUGCAGGGGCUCCCGGACACCUGCAGCUUCCUGGAGCAGUUGGGUAGUUGCUCCUGGAGCCAGAAGCCAGUGAGCACCCCACGCAGCCGGUCAUGGGCCUGGCAGGGGGUGGGCUGGGGGGCUGCAGGGGCCAGACCUCCAAGUCUGGUGUGGUGGUGCAUACCUGUGAUCUCAGCACGCUGGGGGCUGAGGCAGGAGGAUCUCCACGAGUUCAUGACCAGCCUGGGCUAUAGUUCAAGACCAGCCAGAACUGCAUAGGGAGGCCCUAUCUCAAAAUAAAAAAACAAACAGAAUGGGCCUGCAGCUGUACCACCCACUAGACUGGAGCAGAAGCACGGGUAUGGGCAGUGCUCUGUCUCUUCCAAGGUCCCCAGCAGUGACCAGCUUCCUCCCCUCCCUAGGAACCCUUUCUGCCCAGCCUGGUGCUCCAGUCCAUCCUGAAGCACAGCUGCCCUAAGGGCUACUAGCUCCUCCUGCCUUCCCAAAUGCCUGUGGGAGCCCCAGCUGAGGGCUGCGUGCAGGCCGGGGCAUGAGGAGUGUCCUGCCUCAGCCUGCAAAUAAAGGCACAUCCCUGAUGGCUAGGAUGUGCUGUUAGGUCUCACGGUACUGUACAAGCCUGUUUCGUGCCUGCUUUGGGAGUCUCUCGGGUUCCUGAGCUGGAGGAGGAACAAGGUAGAAUUAUAGCUGGGACCAGGGUGAGGGCCAGGACCGCCCCUCGGGUUUGAGACCCUGGACAACCCCAGACCUGGCACCCGGCCUCUGUCCACCCAGUUCAGCCCAUACCUGAAGGAGGCACCUGAAAUGCAGGGAGCCCCCACCCCUGCCACUGGCCCCCUCCCCGCUGUCCAUGGCGUAGUCCCCGGCUGCUGAUCCAGCUCUUUGUCGCCACCUCCUGGCCAGGGAGGACACAGCCAGGGAAUCCACCGCGGGCACCUGGCUCAGUGGGAACCUGGCUCAGUGGGUCGCUGGGCGGCUGGGGCUGGACAGAGGUUGGUGGUGACCUUGGGCCGUGGAGGACGGAGGCUUUUUUUGGAGGGGCGCCCUGGCUCCAGAAGAAAGGCAGUGGGUAGAUUAGAAACGGUUCGGGCAAAGCCAGCUUGGAGAGGGUUGGGAACGGCGCUGCAGCCGCCCUGGCAGGCGCGCACGGGGCCCGGAGCGGGAUCGGUCCCCCGCCACCUCCACCCCGCCCCUUGGC
rnacentral:lncRNA from 1 species